rnacentral:rRNA from 1 species
GGGCCCGCACAAGCGGCGGAGCAUGCGGAUUAAUUCGAUGCAACGCGAAGAACCUUACCAAGGCUUGACAUAUAGAGGAAAAGUGUAGAAAUACACUCCCCGCAAGGUCUCUAUACAGGUGGUGCAUGGUUGUCGUCAGCUCGUGUCGUGAGAUGUUGGGUUAAGUCCCGCAACGAGCGCAACCCUCGUCCUAUGUUGCCAGCACGUAAUGGUGGGAACUCAUGGGAUACUGCCGGGGUCAACUCGGAGGAAGGUGGGGAUGACGUCAAAUCAUCAUGCCCCUUAUGUCUUGGGCUUCACGCAUGCUACAAUGGCCGGUACAGAGGGCAGCGAAGUCGCGAGGCUAAGCAAA